rfam:Triticum urartu cultivar G1812 contig80150, whole genome shotgun sequence.
AUACUACUCCCUCCGUCCGAAAAAGCUCGUCCCAAUCUUGUCCCUCAAAUGGAUGUAUCUAGCGCUAACUUGGUGCUAGAUACAUCCAUUUGAGGGACAAGCUUUUUCGGACGGAGGGAGUACACG